rnacentral:rRNA from 1 species
UGGGGAAUUUUCCGCAAUGAGCGCAAGCUUGACGGAGCAAUACCGCGUGAGGGAAGAAUGCCUGUGGGUUGUAAACCUCUUUUUUCAGGGAAGAAUAUCUGACGGUACCUAAAGAAUAAGCAUCGGCUAACUCCGUGCCAGCAGCCGCGGUAAUACGGGGGAUGCAAGCGUUAUCCGGAAUUACUGGGCGUAAAGCGUCUGUAGGUGGCUUAAAAAGUCUGCUGUUAAAUAUUAGAGCUUAACUCUGAAAAAGCAGUGGAAACUGUCAGGCUAGAGUAUGGUAUGGGCAGAGGGAAUUUCCAGUGUAGCGGUGAAAUGCGUAGAUAUUGGGAAGAACACCAGUGGCGAAAGCGCUCUACUGGACCAUUACUGACACUCAGAGACGAAAGCUAGGGGAGCGAAUGGGAUUAGAUACCCCGGUAGUCC